UGUUCCCAAAAUUGAGUACCAGGUGGUA
rnacentral:piRNA from 1 species